GACGAACGCUGGCGGCGUGCUUAACACAUGCAAGUCGAACGGAAAGGCCCUGCUUUUGUGGGGUGCUCGAGUGGCGAACGGGUGAGUAACACGUGAGUAACCUGCCCUUGACUUUGGGAUAACUUCAGGAAACUGGGGCUAAUACCGGAUAGGAGCUCCUGCUGCAUGGUGGGGGUUGGAAAGUUUCGGCGGUUGGGGAUGGACUCGCGGCUUAUCAGCUUGUUGGUGGGGCAGUGGCUUACCAAGGCUUUGACGGGUAGCCGGCCUGAGAGGGUGACCGGCCACAUUGGGACUGAGAUACGGCCCAGACUCCUACGGGAGGCAGCAGUGGGGAAUAUUGCACAAUGGGCGGAAGCCUGAUGCAGCAACGCCGCGUGCGGGAUGACGGCCUUCGGGUUGUAAACCGCCUUCGCCUGUGACGAAGCGUGAGUGACGGUAAUGGGUAAAGAAGCACCGGCUAACUACGUG
rnacentral:rRNA from 1 species